ensembl:lincRNA
CAGGGUGGGGCUCUCCAGGCUUGGGGCCAAGGACUUCUCUGUGCCUGGCACUUCCCUAGGAUUCAGAGCACAACAAUAGGGAAGAGGAGAAGGGUCACUCUGAAGCGGUCACAUAACCAGACUAGGGGAAGACCUGGGGGGAGGCUCAAGGUCAGCCUGAGGUCAGGCCCUGUCCAACUUAAUUAUUCAUUAACCAGGAAAGUCCAGGCACUGAGUUAAUGGGCAGCACAAGGCCGCGGGGGAGGAAAUUCCUCCCCGAGGGUGGGCAGCACCUGCAGGAGUAGGGCCUGUAAGGAGCAGUUGGUGGAGGGGCCCUUUAUCCAUCCAUGGGUCCGUCCAUCCAUCCGGCCGCCACCACCCACCUGUCCUCACAUUCACUCGCUUCUCUCUGUGCCCGUCGAUGAGCAGAAGGCUGGAGUUCCCGCUGCCGCAAGGACAGAGCAGUGGCCACAAGGAUUGCCCAGAGUGGUCAGUGUUGUGGCCAGGGCCUGGGGGAGCAGAGGAGAUCCCCUGACUCAGCUCCGUGAAGUGGACUAAGCCUCCUGGAGAGGGUGAGACCGAGAAGGACCGGUCAGAUGGCCCCGCAGAUCCCCUGUGGCUGGGCCUCACGCAGCAGACAGGGAAACGGUGGCUCAAAGAGGACCCAGGUCUGCCCACACAUUGAAGCAUCAUCUUGGGCUACACGCCCUCCGCAAGGAAGCAAUGACCCUGAACCUGUGAGUUUCAUGGAGCAUUUGAGAGGAAAUGGAAGGUGGACUAGAGAGAACAAUGAAAUCAAAGGGACCAGGCUCUCCUCCAGGGGCCCAAGAGAGAACUCCCUUGAUUCUCUGGCCAAAAUUUCAUGCUGGAAUUCUCCAAGGGAGGGAGGAUGGAGAGUGUGGGGGAGGGGAAGAAUGCAGCCUGAAUGAGCCAAGGUCACAGCCGUUCUUCGAGGUCUUCCCAAGUCCCAGAGCUGGCUUGCCCUCCCUGGCCCAAUGGAGAGUGUAGUGGGGGCAGGGCAGAGGAAUGGAGGGGCUCUGGGGCCCUUGGGAAUGAGGGCUUCCGUUGGUUUCCCUGCUCGGAGUCCCUUGAAAACCUGGAGAGGAGAAUCUUUGCGCACCGUUUCUCCUUCUCCUCCAGCAACCUACAGGUGCUUGGCAGUGCCCCCCUCAAAGCUCCUCACUUUUGCACCUAAAAAAUCUGGGUGCUGCUUACCUCUCUAGGUCCUCGGAUCCUGGGAGGCCAACAGUGUGUAAUGCUAACAGUGAGUGAUCGGGAACGUCACAUUCUGAUUAAGUGAGUCAAACAUCCUGGCCUACUUCGCUUUACCGAGAUAUAUAUACACGGCUCGGGCUGGUGCAGGCAGCCCUGUGCAGGGACUGGGGUGCGACUGCGGGUAAGGGGGACCUGUGCUAGCCCUCAUGGAGCUCUCGGUGCAAGUUUCACAUCUCAGCCAGAAGAGUCAAAUGCUAGAGUCUAUGAGUGCCUUAUUCACACCGAGUGUGAUUUUUCUGGAAGGAGGAAGGAGGAAAGAAUGGGUGUGGAGAGAGGCGGGGUCACACCAGGACACUAAUUUUCAUGUACACUUUCAGCAAAUUUAAUCUUCUUGGAUCUAGCACCCCUAUGAAUACAAAUGUCUUAAAAUACCACUAACAGAAUAAUAACACUUGUCCCUUUCAGCGGGCCGUUCACCCAAGCAUCUCCAAUGCUCUGUGAACAUUAAUUAAUUAAGCCCAGAUUAAAUAGUUAUCAUUGACUGAAAAUAUAUUUACUGCACACAGGCAACCAGCUACCGGGUUACUGAUGUGACUUAACCCCCGUUGUCACUGCGCUUGAAAUAUACAACCCGAGGGCAUUAGAAACGGGUGUGUUCACACCCUGACGGUGCGGAGACUGCUGGGUCCAUCGAUUCUAAGCAGUCUGAAUGGGCCUCAGAUCUUGUCCAUUCUCUGCGCUACUGCUUCCUUCCAGGGGUUUCCUUCCAUGCUAGGAGCUGACUCAGGCUGAUCACGCCUGCCAGACUCUUCCAGAAGAAAGGUUCUAGGUCCCAGUAGCCUGGUUACUGUUCCCACCAUGUAAGUUUUACCUGUUCCUUUAUUAUGUAUUUAUUUAUUUAUUUAUUUAUGAGAGAGAGAGAGAGAGAGAGGAGCGAGCUUGGGGAGGGGAAGAAGGAGAGGGAGAGAAUCCCAAGCAGGCUGCCUGUGCAGAGCAGAGCUGGGUGCAGGGUUGGAUCCCAAGUCCCUGAGCUCACGACCUCAUGGGCGGGAUGCUUAACCGACUGAGCCACCCAGGUGCCCCAAGGCUUCUAUUUCUUGAAAUUUACCAUGACACUAGGGCACCUCCAUUUGGAUUACACCAAUGACAGAAAGCCAGAUCAAUUUGCUUAGGAAAAAAGGAGAACUUAUGAACUCGUGUGAGAAACCAGACAGCAGCAAGGGUAGGAGUAGAGUGGACCACAGUGAGGACUGGGUCAAGCCAGAUCUCUGGCUACUCUUGCCCUCCUGCUUUUGCCUGUGCACAGGGGGUUUGGGGGGAGGUGGAGAGGGGUGAUUUUUAAAACACUGAUUUAUUUUCUUUCAUGGCCAUUGACUUAUUUAGUUUAGUUUUUUUUUUUUUNNNNNNNNNNNNNNNNNNNNN